rnacentral:rRNA from 1 species
UACGUAGGGUGCGAGCGUUGUCCGGAAUUACUGGGCGUAAAGAGCUCGUAGGCGGUUUGUUGCGUCGGCCGUGAAAACCUGCAGCUUAACUGUGGGCCUGCGGCCGAUACGGGCAGACUUGAGUUCGGUAGGGGAGACUGGAAUUCCUGGUGUAGCGGUGAAAUGCGCAGAUAUCAGGAGGAACACCGGUGGCGAAGGCGGGUCUCUGGGCCGAUAUUGACGCUGAGGAGCGAAAGCGUGGGGAGCGAACAGG